rnacentral:rRNA from 1 species
GACGGAGGGUGCUAGCGUUGUUCGGAAUUACUGGGCGUAAAGAGCGUGUAGGCGGCCAAGCAGGUCAGCUGUGAAAACUCGAGGCUCAACCUCGAGACGUCGGUUGAAACCGCUUGGCUAGAGUCCGGAAGAGGAGAGUGGAAUUCCCGGUGUAGCGGUGAAAUGCGCAGAUAUCGGGAAGAACACCCGUGGCGAAGGCGGCUCUCUGGGACGGUACUGACGCUGAGACGCGAAAGCGUGGGGAGCAAACAGG